rnacentral:rRNA from 1 species
CAGUCGCCGCGGGAAUACGUAGGGCGCAAGCGUUAUCCGGAAUUAUUGGGCGUAAAGAGCUCGUAGGCGGUUUGUCGCGUCUGCCGUGAAAGUCCGGGGCUCAACCCCGGAUCUGCGGUGGGUACGGGCAGACUAGAGUGAUGUAGGGGAGACUGGAAUUCCUGGUGUAGCGGUGAAAUGCGCAGAUAUCAGGAGGAACACCGAUGGCGAAGGCAGGUCUCUGGGCAUUAACUGACGCUGAGGAGCGAAAGCAUGGGGAGCGAACAGGAUUAGAUACCCCGGUAGUCCCUGUCUCUUAUAC